GAGUUGUGAACCAAAACACCGAGUUAAUGAAAGAAGGAAAGAAGAAUCAUGAUUCCUGGUUGGCGAAAGCUAGAAAAACUAAAGAUGGUUGAUUUUAUUUCGAAAAACAUCCGGACGUGGUCGUACUCUUUUUUAUAUUAUGGUGAUAUGACGGUGCAUUUGUGAACCUUUCAAAUAACAACAAGAGAGUUCUCGAUACAACUGGUGUUUGCGUAAGGACGUCACUGACACAUUACGUCAUACGUCACACGGUAUGAUUGUUUACGUAUCAUAGAUACAGCUAAAAAUAGUCCCUCCCUGAAGCACAAUCUAAAUGGAGUAUCUGUUAUCCGAACUCCAAUUUAAAUAAUUUAUGGACUUUUCCUCACAAACUUUUCAUCCCUAGUAAAAUUAAAGAACGUGCUCAUAGAUAUUAGGCCUUCUCUUGUAAUUUUGUUUUUCUUUUUUUUCCUGAGAAUGUAUCUUCUUUAUGUUCCUUUUGCAAUACUGAAGAAGAAUCAGUUUUACAUUUGUAUUAUCAGUGCCCAUUCUCAGUCCUUUUGGUCAGAAGUUACCAUGUUAGUUUUCUGCUGAUGUAGCAAACUGGUACAAAUGACUGAAUCAUUUUCUUGUCUGAUUUUCAUUCUAAGGAUGUUACUUGAUUACAAUGUUUUACUGCUUUGUCUUCUGGGUAAAUUUCAUCUUCACAAAGCCAGAACUAUCCACUGUAAUCCCAAUUUUAGUAUGUUUUCUUCUGAUUUAAAGUCCCUUUUUACUUCCUUUAGGAACGUUUAACAUCCUUGACAUUCUUGAAUUUGUUGUAAAGAACCUUUAAAUUUAUUUAUUAUUUUGUUGACAUUGUCAAAAUCUAAUACUGUGUUGAUUUAAUUAUAACCUCUUGUGAUGUCUGUAUGCCCCCUAUUUUAUUUUAUUGUAUUUUUUUUCUUCUCAUUGUUAAUAUAUGUAUCCUCAAUUUGCAAUUAUAAAAAAAAUAAAUAAAUAAAUAAAUCUCCAGUUUGACAGAGCUUA